UGUCUCAAGACUAAGCCAUGCAUGUCUAAGUAUAAACGCUUCUAUACUGUGAAACUGCGAAUGGCUCAUUAAAUCAGUUAUAGUUUAUUUGAUGGUUCCUUACUACUUGGAUAACCGUAGUAAUUCUAGAGCUAAUACAUGCAGAAAGUCCCGACUUCUUGGAAGGGAUGUAUUUAUUAGAUCCAAAACCAGCGCGAGUUUCCUUCGGGGGCUCGGUUGCAUGGUGAUUCAUGAUAACUGCUCGAAUCGCAUGGCCUUGCGCCGGCGAUGAUCCAUUCAAAUUUCUGCCCUAUCAACUUUCGAUGGCAAGGUAGUGGCUUGCCAUGGUGACAACGGGUGACGGAGAAUUAGGGUUCGAUUCCGGAGAGGGAGCCUGAGAAACGGCUACCACAUCCAAGGAAGGCAGCAGGCGCGCAAAUUACCCAAUCCCGACUCGGGGAGGUAGUGACAAUAAAUAACAAUGCUGGGCUAUCGUAGUCUGGCAAUUGGAAUGAGUACAAUCUAAACCCCUUAACGAGGAACAAUUGGAGGGCAAGUCUGGUGCCAGCAGCCGCGGUAAUUCCAGCUCCAAUAGCGUAUAUUAAAGUUGUUGCAGUUAAAAAGCUCGUAGUUGGAUUUCGGGGCAGCCCGGCUGGUCCGUCGCGAGGCGAGUACUGGUCGGCCGCCCUUCCUCUCGAAAGCCCCGACUGCUCUUCACUGCAGUGGUCGGGGAGUUCGGGACGUUUACUUUGAAAAAAUUAGAGUGUUCAAGGCAGGCCAUCGCCUGAAUACAUUAGCAUGGAAUAAUGGAAGAGGACCUCGGUCCUAUUUUGUUGGUUUCUAGGGCCGAAGUAAUGAUUAAGAGGGACAGUUGGGGGCAUUCGUAUUUAAUUGUCAGAGGUGAAAUUCUCGGAUUUAUGAAAGACGAACAACUGCGAAAGCAUUUGCCAAGGAUGUUUUCAUUAAUCAAGAACGAAAGUUAGGGGUUC
rnacentral:rRNA from 1 species